AGAGAAGGCCAGACGGUCGCCGGUCGCGACAACGCGGCGGGAGGAAAGUCCGGGCUCCGGAGGGCAGGGUGCUGGCUAACGGCCAGGGCGGGUAACCGCACGGACCAGUGCCACAGAAAGCAGACCGCCGUUCAGCGAACGGUAAGGGUGAAACGGUGAGGUAAGAGCUCACCAGCGGCGCGGGUGACCGCGCCGGCUCGGCAAACCCCACCCGGAGCAAGGCCGAAUAGGAGAGCAAUCGGGUGGCCCGCCCGCGCUCUCGGGUUAGGCCGCUGGAGGCGCCGGGCAACCGGCGUCCUAGAGAAAUGAUCGUCGUCUCGAGCUCGGGAAACCGGCUCGGGGAACAGAACCCGGCUUACCGGCCUUCUCUGGCG
rnacentral:RNase_P_RNA from 1 species